GUUGCGCCCGAAGCCGUCAGGCCGAGGGCACGUCUGCCUGGGUGUCACGCAACGUCGCCAACAAUCCCCUCACCCCCUGCGAAGGGAACGGCGAGGGGUGGCGGAUAUUGGCCUCCCGUGCGCUCCCGCUCGCGGUUGGCCCAAAAAACAGCCCCCUGGCGAUGGCAGCCACGGCACGCGGUGGUUGGAAGCACUGGCUCCUGAACCGCUGUGGGCGAGCCUCGUCGACGGGGAGCGGAAAGACCCUGACGCAUGCGUCCGAAAAGAGCGACCCCAGGUCAGGCGGGAACACCCGCUGAGUUUA
rnacentral:rRNA from 1 species